UACGUAGGGGGCAAGCGUUGCCCGGAUUUAUUGGGCGUAAAGAGCGUGUAGGCGGCCAGGUAGGUCAGCUGUGAAAACUCGAGGCUCAACCUCGAGACGCCGGUUGAAACCAUCUGGCUAGAGUCCGGAAGAGGAGAGUGGAAUUCCUGGUGUAGCGGUGAAAUGCGCAGAUAUCAGGAAGAACACCCGUGGCUAAGGCGGCUCUCUAGUACGGUACUGACGCUGAGGAGCGAAAGCUAGGGGAGCAAACGGG
rnacentral:rRNA from 1 species